GAGCUCCCGAAUAGGUAAAUGUGAAAAUGGCGAAUUCGAGUUUCUCGCAAUCGCUGCACCGAUUUCGAUUUGAACCUGGGAAAGCAGUUUGGAACCAUGUCAAGCUUGAGGGACAUGACCCGCUUUGGGGAUUUCUUGGUUUUGGAUGCCAACAAUGCAGAUGGACACUAAAGGUUACUAUUAAGUGAACGUGGACUGUUGAAAUACCAUCCCAGAAACCUCGAAACGCUUGUUUCGUGCCAAGGAGAGACUUAUUCUAAGAGAAAACGCAUUCUGAAGCGGUCGCGUACCUCUAGCGCAGUUCAAAUCGCCCGCCCUCCAAUCGAGGAGUACUGACAUCAUGGUCUCAUAGUUACGUUGCGCCAUCGGUCAGUAGAACGGCGUCCGCAGACGGCGCUACGGCUUUUCUGCGCAAAACGCAAAGGCGCGGCCAGAAACAGCGGGAUUAUGGUGGCUAGCGGAAGAGGAAAUGCGCGACCAUAAGCUGGUACUUUAUUCUAUGACGCAAACUUCGACGCUCGUCGCAAUGGACCCUGACAACGACAAACUGGCUCGCGAUGCUGGGCUCAACUUCAGCGAUUUGAGCACUGACGAGCGCGACCUGCUGCUGAGGGCUCGCGCUGCCGGCGUCGUUGCGUACUACGACGGCGGCCUCGACAUCAGCUCUCCAGAGCGGGAAAGCAACAAGGGCUUCCCACGACAUCACAAGGACGUGGCAUUCUCACUGCUUGUUCGAAAUGAAAGUUUCGCGAGCCAGCAGAACCCUCACAGCACGACCGGAUAACGAAACUACUGAAACUCCAAAGCGUGCAUGGCGCAGAGUCGAGCGUGCAGAGUUGAGCGAAAACGAAACCUUUCGACCACCCAAACUACUGAAGGGUCACGUCAAAAUGUUAUUUUUUCUUAGAAUCAAAUAGACGUAGACAAGUAGCAUUUUCGUCCGUCUUAUAAUCGAAUGAAAUGAUAUUUUUAAUAUGAGUAGUUGAGUAUUAGUAACACAAAUUAUGAGGAGUGCUUUCGUCAUCGGGCUAGUACCGGAAUGUCGCUGGGGGGUCUCAAAUCGUGUCAUGCAUUUACCUCAAUUUCUCGGUUACUAAAGCUCUGUUCACGAUUAGAUUGACGCCUUAGACGUUCUAGAACAUUGCUCUACCACUUUAACUUGACUUUCUGGUAACCUUUAGUGUCCCUUUAAGGGCUCAAAUCACCACAGGCCCAUUCAAGAUAGCUCUAAAGGCCUGCCAGUGCACUUAUCAGGUGGAUUGGAGCUCAUACUGUGACAAGAGACAGAAGGUGCACGUGUGUGUAACUGUGAUGUGUGGUGCGCGACAUGGUGCGGUGAUCGGGAUGGUCAGGAGCAGACGACAAGGAGUGCACGCGCAAAGGCAAAUUUCAUACUGGAAGGAGAAAAACGACAACGCCGAAGAGCGUCCGGCACGUGAACGCGCGGCGCAAGAAAAACAACUAAAAGAAGAAAAGCGAACCAAUUAGCAAAGACCACGGGGCGUCAGGCAGCCAAUCGGAGAAUGCCUAAUCGGCCAGAGAGAAGAAAAAGCGUGGUGCGCUGGCAGAAGGAGAGACGCAAGGGAGAUGCAGAGGAGACACCAGGAGAGGUCCAGGAAGCGACGCCAGGAGGAGGUCAACCACCGGAGCGGGCGUUGAAGACGGGCCGUCGGGUUCCGGACCCGAGCCACCAGGAAUUCACCCGACCGGGGCCUCCUGCCAGCUCGUUCCUGUGCGUCACCCUCUACCCGAGCGUGCUGUCCGCUCCUCAAGGCCGGUGAGCUUCUGUGCCUGUGGGCAAGACGAGAACAGUCGGGCUACGGGCCUGAGUUCUACGCAUGCUGCCCGGCCAGAACGCCGCCCCCGUCGGUCGUGCCGCCUGCUGCCCGAGGCCGGCGUUCGAGCUUCUGUGCCCAUGGGCAGGACAAGAGCAGUCGGGCUACGGGCCCGAGCUCUACACCCAGCUGCCCGGCCAGAACGCCGCCGCCGUCUGUUCGUGCCACCAAGACGCCUGCUUUACCUCUCCAAGCCAGAGCUGGCCAGCUCCAGUCACCCAGUCAAUUGACUUACACCACGACCUUUGGCGAGACCGGCGCCACUCCUUUCGUCAGCAUGUCGCCGUGUCGAGACUGUUGUGUGUCCCUGCCGCCGUGGCAAGCCCGGACUUGCGCACUAGUUAGCUCCAUACUAGCCCCAAGUGUGUUUCUUUCUGCGAUGAUGUCUAUUUGAGUGUUUCUUUUAUGUUUUCUAUUUUCUUCUAUUUCUUUUAAGCCUUUUUAGUUCCAUUAAAAGU